CACGUAGGGGACGAGCGUUGUCCGGAUUCAUUGGGCGUAAAGCGCGCGUAGGCGGCUCGGAAAGUCGGUCGUGAAAUGCCGGGGCUCAACCCCGGGACUGCGUCCGAUACUCCCGAGCUGGAGGCAGGUAGGGGAGAUCGGAAUUCCUGGUGUAGCGGUGAAAUGCGCAGAUAUCAGGAGGAACACCGGUGGCGAAGGCGGAUCUCUGGGCCUUGCCUGACGCUGAGGCGCGAAAGCUAGGGGAGCGAAUGGG
rnacentral:rRNA from 1 species